rnacentral:rRNA from 1 species
UACAGAGGUCUCAAGCGUUGUUCGGAUUCAUUGGGCGUAAAGAGCGCGUAGGUGGCUCCGUAAGUCAGGUGUGAAAUCUCGGGGCUCAACCCCGAAACUGCACUUGAUACUGCGGUGCUCGAGUACUGGAGAGGAGAUUGGAAUUUACGGUGUAGCAGUGAAAUGCGUAGAUAUCGUAAGGAAGACCAGUGGCGAAGGCGAAUCUCUGGACAGUUACUGACACUGAGGCACGAAGGCCAGGGGAGCAAACGGG